UACGAAGGGGGCUAGCGUUGCUCGGAAUCACUGGGCGUAAAGGGUGCGUAGGCGGGUCUUUAAGUCAGGGGUGAAAUCCUGGAGCUCAACUCCAGAACUGCCUUUGAUACUGAAGAUCUUGAGUUCGGGAGAGGUGAGUGGAACUGCGAGUGUAGAGGUGAAAUUCGUAGAGAUCCGGAGGAACACCAGUGGCGAAGGCGACACGCUGGGCCGUACCUGACACUGAUGCGCGACAGCAUGGGGAGCAAACAGG
rnacentral:rRNA from 1 species